UACGUAGGGGGCAAGCGUUGUCCGGAUUUAUUGGGCGUAAAGAGCUCGUAGGCGGUUCGGUAAGUCGGGUGUGAAACCUCCAGGCUCAACCUGGAGAGGUCACCUGAUACUGCUGUGACUCGAGUCCGGUAGGGGAGCGUGGAAUUCCUGGUGUAGCGGUGAAAUGCGCAGAUAUCAGGAGGAACACCAGCGGCGAAGGCGGCGCUCUGGGCCGGAACUGACGCUGAGGAGCGAAAGCGUGGGUAGCAAACAGG
rnacentral:rRNA from 1 species